rnacentral:misc_RNA from 1 species
GGUGGGUCUACUAGGAUUCCUAAGGUUCAACAAUUGUUGCAGGAUUUCUUCAAUGGUAAAGAGCUUUACAAGAGCAUUAACCCUGAUGAGGCUGUAGCCUAUGGUGCUGCAGUCCAGGCUGCAAUCCUGAGUGGCGAGGGUAAUGAGAUGGUCAAGGACCUUCUAUUGCUCGAUGUCACUCCUCGGUCCCUUGGUUUGGGGACAACUGGUGAUAUUAUGACUGUAUUGAUUCCAAGGAACAUGGCCAUCCCCAUCAAGAAAGAGCAAGUGCUUUCCACCGAUUCUGAUAAUCAGCUUGGUGUGUUGAUUCAGGUCUAUGAGUGUGAGCGAAAUAGAACCGGUGAGAACAAUUUGCUAGGCAAUUUUGAAUUAUUUGGCAUUCCCCCUGCUCCUAGGGGUGUUCCACGAAUCCAUGUUUGCUUUGACAUUGAUGCCAAUGGUAUUCUG